GCCCUUGUAGCUCAGUGGUAGAGCGCUUCACUCGUAUCAUGUCAUGAAGAGGUCCGCGGUUCAAUCCCGCGUGGGGGCA
rfam:Aspergillus tubingensis CBS 134.48 unplaced genomic scaffold ASPTTscaffold_8, whole genome shotgun sequence.